rnacentral:rRNA from 1 species
UACAGAGGUCUCAAGCGUUGUUCGGAUUCAUUGGGCGUAAAGGGUGCGUAGGCGGCGCGGUAAGUCGGGUGUGAAAUCUCCGGGCUUAACUCGGAAAGGUCAAGUGAUACUGUCGGGCUAGAGUACAGAAGGGGCAACUGGAAUUCUCGGUGUAGCGGUGAAAUGCGUAGAUAUCGAGAGGAACACCUGCGGCGAAGGCGGGUUGCUGGGCUGAUACUGACGCUGAUGCGCGAAAGCCAGGGGAGCGAACGGG